rnacentral:rRNA from 1 species
ACAUGGGGUGCAAACGUUGUUCGGAAUUACUGGGCGUAAAGCGCACGUAGGCGGCUUUGUAAGUUAGAGGUGAAAGCCCGGGGCUCAACUCCGGAAUUGCCUUUAAGACUGCAUCGCUUGAAUCCGGGAGAGGUGAGUGGAAUUCCGAGUGUAGAGGUGAAAUUCGUAGAUAUUCGGAAGAACACCAGUGGCGAAGGCGGCUCACUGGACCGGUAUUGACGCUGAGGUGCGAAAGCGUGGGGAGCAAACAGGA